AACGAACGCUGGCGGCAUGCCUAACACAUGCAAGUCGAACGAGACCUUCGGGUCUAGUGGCGCACGGGUGCGUAACGCGUGGGAACCUGCCCUUAGGUUCGGAAUAACUCCCCGAAAGGGGUGCUAAUACCGGAUAAUGUCUUCGGACCAAAGAUUUAUCGCCUUUGGAUGGGCCCGCGUUGGAUUAGCUAGUUGGUAGGGUAAAAGCCUACCAAGGCGGCGAUCCAUAGCUGGUCUGAGAGGAUGAUCGGCCACACUGGGACUGAGACACGGCCCAGACUCCUACGGGAGGCAGCAGUGGGGAAUAUUGGACAAUGGGCGAAAGCCUGAUCCAGCAAUGCCGCGUGAGUGAUGAAGGCCUUAGGGUUGUAAAGCUCUUUUACCCGGGAUGAUAAUGACAGUACCGGGAGAAUAAGCUCCGGCUAACUCCGUG
rnacentral:rRNA from 1 species